rnacentral:rRNA from 1 species
CCAGGUCUUGACAUCCUCUGACAAUCCUAGAGAUAGGACGUCCCCUUCGGGGCAGAGUGACAGGUGGUGCAUGGUUGUCGUCAGCUCGUGUCGUGAGAUGUUGGGUUAAGUCCCGCAACGAGCGCAACCCUUGAUCUUAGUUGCCAGCAUUCAGUUGGGCACUCUAAGGUGACUGCCGGUGACAAACCGGAGGAAGGUGGGGAUGACGUCAAAUCAUCAUGCCCCUUAUGACCUGGGCUACACACGUGCUACAAUGGACAGAACAAAGGGCAGCGAAACCGCGAGGUUAAGCCAAUCCCACAAAUCUGUUCUCAGUUCGGAUCGCAGUCUGCAACUCGACUGCGUGAAGCUGGAAUCGCUAGUAAUCGCGGAUCAGCAUGCCGCGGUGAAUACGUUCCCGGGCCUUGUACACACCGCCCGUCACACCACGAGAGUUUGUAACACCCGAAGUCGGUGAGGUAACCUUUUAGGAGCCAGCCGCCGAAGUGGACAGAUGAUUGGGGUGAAGUCGUAACAAGGUAGCCGUAUCGGAAGGUGC